rnacentral:rRNA from 1 species
ACGAGAUCUUCGGAUCUAGUGGCGCACGGGUGCGUAACGCGUGGGAAUCUGCCCUUUGCUUCGGAAUAACAGUGAGAAAUUACUGCUAAUACCGGAUGAUGUCUUCGGACCAAAGAUUUAUCGGCAAAGGAUGAGCCCGCGUAGGAUUAGCUUGUUGGUGGGGUAAUGGCCUACCAAGGCGACGAUCCUUAGCUGGUCUGAGAGGAUGAUCAGCCACACUGGGACUGAGACACGGCCCAGACUCCUACGGGAGGCAGCAGUGGGGAAUAUUGGACAAUGGGCGAAAGCCUGAUCCAGCAAUGCCGCGUGAGUGAUGAAGGCCUUAGGGUUGUAAAGCUCUUUUACCCGGGAUGAUAAUGACAGUACCGGGAGAAUAAGCUCCGGCUAACUCCGUGCCAGCAGCCGCGGUAAUACGGAGGGAGCUAGCGUUGUUCGGAAUUACUGGGCGUAAAGCGCGCGUAGGCGGUUACUCAAGUCAGAGGUGAAAGCCCGGGGCUCAACCCCGGAACUGCCUUUGAAACUAGGUGACUAGAAUCUUGGAGAGGUCAGUGGAAUUCCGAGUGUAGAGGUGAAAUUCGUAGAUAUUCGGAAGAACACCAGUGGCGAAGGCGACUGACUGGACAAGUAUGACGC